GUUUUGAACGCACUUCUAGCACCGGUCACGUGGUGGGAACAUGAGUACUGUGGUGGUGUGCCCGUUGCCCCGUUCAUUUUGAACUACUUGGUUUUGGGCUUUCAGGCACGCUUUCUCGUGGGUGGGCAACUAUUUCUCUGAGCAAGUGAUGUCUAGCGGGUUCAGGAUUGUAUCCUUGCUGUGAUAUGCGAACCUCCUUCCCAGCCUGAGCAUCACCUGUUGGAUGAGGUAUUUCUCUGCUGCGACACAUGUCAGGUACUGUACACAGAGCACAAGUGGCUGCCAGACACCUGCCUAUCCACUGCAAUUGUAUUGUCGAAGUUCUGAACUGAUGGAAGCAGAUUGUCUAUCUACUUUACAUAGUACUGGAGCAAAAUUUUACAGGAUGUCACACCUAUUGUAUCUAGUAAAGAAAUGGAACUGUCUGCCAUGUGCAAUGAGGAUACCAUACUGAUUUCGGGCAACUGAAGUGCUUUGUGGUUCCAAUAAAUGUGGAAUUAAUAUUCUUUGUAAACAAAGGAGAUGUGAAGAACACUUGCGUAGAAAAAUGUAAUUACUAUAAAUGUGGAAUUACAAAAAAUAAACUUAACUAGGAAGACAAUAAAGCUAAACAUGCCUGUCAAUAGGUUCAAUGAGCUGACUACUGUUUUACAUAUCAACACCACAAUUAUCGAAAACCAUAGAAACCAUUUCAACAUGAACACAGCAGUAUAGAUUCGUUAAAAUUAUUUGUUAGUUGGCAUCUGUCACUUGUUGCUAAAGUGUUGGCACACCGGCUGCUGCUGUAUUAUAGGCAACAAACAGAGCAGGUCACUCAGCAAAUGCUGUUCAAUUUAAUUUUCAUGUUAAAAAAAGUAGGUUUAGCUCAGUAGAGGCAGAGCACAGGUUGGGAUUAUGAAAGGAUGGGAGACGUAACUCUGUGCAGUGUGAAGUGGCCAUUAUGAAAUGACAUGAAUGACAUGCCCUGCUGACAACUGGUUUUGGGGUGACCAAUGGCAUAACUGUUGCAGAUGUGACAUUUUAUAGCCCUGAACUAAUUUGAUAAACUAACCACAACAAGAUGUGCAGUAUAUCCUAGAAAUGGCUGUCAGAAUUCUACAGAAGAACUGUUAAUUGUACUCUGUUCACAACAAUUAAUACAUUUAAUGCCAUGUGACCACAGGCAGUUGCAGUAGUCUCACACCUAAUGCUGUUCCGUGACCUGGCUUGGCUUGAUGGUGAGACCAAUAUCCGAACACUAACGCAGACAUUGAUCUUAAGAAUGCAAGUGAUCAAAGCCGAACGUUACAAUUUAAUGUCCAAAAACAAGAAGUGCAGCUGCAGACCGUAUUUUAAUUUGCGAAUUGUAACACUUAAAACAGGGAUUUAAAAGAAAGUGUGAUUCGUUAAAACCAAAUUUCAGGAACACUGUUUUUAUGGUGUUAUCGCCAGGACCAACAAAAGUAUUCCUUAAAAUCGGGUUUGUUAAUACGGGGUUUUACUGUAGCUUCAAAAAUUCUUCACCUACCUUCGUCUUUCACAUAAUACAGUACAAUUUGUCUUGCCUCUUUAGUUAUACAGACUUGCCCUUUAAUGUUUAGAAAUAUUGUUGUCUCUUGCAUUGUCAUCUACAGCUUAACAAUUCAAUCACGAAUAUCAAGUGUAACAUAUUUUUACCUCUGCAGUGUCAUUCGAAAAUAUAUACAGAACUUCUGUAUGUCCUUUUCCCCUCAAUCCUGUCUGAGGGUGACACUCCUUUUCACCUCUACUACGGAGUGGGCAUAUCCAGAAUCUGUGCCGGGAUUUGUCACUGUGGUACGCUUCCAGUGCUUUGCACAGAAUGUGGAUGCACCACACUGUUUAAUUUUUCUUGUAUUUUGCGUGCUAAUGCAAGUUCAGUCACAGCUGUUGUAAAUGACACACGCGAGGCACGGGCUACAGUAUUGUUGUGCACACCAUACUGCAUAUUGUGGUACUCUCACAUCAAACCAUUCCUGACAUUUCCUUUUUGUCCCUCUUUCAAACAAUUUGCGUUUGGUUAAUCAUUUUGGAAGGGGUUUAUUUCAAUAAAUGAUGAGGGAUCCUAGGCGGGUCCGCCAAAUGUCAGGGGUUUUAACAAGAAUGCUUUUAUUUGUUCACUUUCCCUAAUGGAUCGGGUUGUUGGCUCUGGCUGAAGGCCUGUUAUGAGACCCAACCUGU